ACGAUCUUUAAUGGUUAAGCAUUGAAACUGUUUGCUUGCAGUGUUCGAGAGAACUGCCUCUGCAUAGCUAAACUUUGCAGACUGACUAGCUGUUCCAAGGGACAUAUUUACCACUGGCUUAUCCCAUUUGAAGAUGUCACUCAGAGUUCAUUCAAGUAGAGGUUUUUGACUCCAGAGGUAGAGGUGUCCUCCAGUUUUUGAGAGGAAUCUUCAUAAUUCUGGAAUUGUGUGGUUGUGGAGAAAUUGCUUUCAGGAGUUCAAUGUGUUCACUGGGCUGAAAAGAAUCACCCUCCUCACCACUUUCCUCAAAAGAGCAGGACAAGUGUUUUUUUCUCACGCUCAAUCUUGGGCAAGCUGGCUCCACUGGAUGCUUUUACCUGGGCACUUUCUGCUGACUCUCCCAGAUGCUGACUGUCUCCAAGACUGCAGCCCUGGAAGCCUCAGAACCACCAUGAAAAAGCCAGGGUGGGGAGAGAGAGCAUGCAGGAGCUCCACAAGUGGACCCAUUUUUGGCAACAUGGGGAGAGUUACCUCUCUGUGGAGAGAGCUGUGCUAGGGGAUGAGCAUUUCUCCCCAGUAGAAAUCAGCAUGAAAAAUAGAUAUUUCUUUUCUUCACCAGCAAUUUUUUUCUUUUACUGAAAUGAAACCAAAUUAUUUGUUUGUUUGUUUUUUUAUAGUCACUGAACAGGAGAGAAAAAGACAGAUUGAGCCAAAUUAAAGGUUUUAUCUAAGAGAUCCCUUGGUAUUUUCUACAUUGAAGGAGCCUUCCAGUACUCAAAGGAAGUUAUAAACAGGAGGGAAAACAACUUUUUACAGAGAUAGCUAGGGAUAGAAGAAGGGAGAACAGUUUUAAACCAAUAAGGGAGAUUUAGGUUAGAUGUUAGGGGCAGAUUUUUCACUCAGAGUGUGGUGAGGCACUAGCACAGUCUGCCCAAAGGCUGCAGAUGCCCUAUCCCUGGAGGUGUUCAGGGCGAGGUUGGAUGGGGCCCUGGGCAGCCUGAGCUGGUGGGUGGUUUAGUGGGCAUUCCUGCCUGCAGUAGUAGUGUUGGAACUAGAAGAUCUUUGAAGUUUGUCCCAACUGAAGCCAUUCUAUGAAUAGGGAAAAUAAAGCACAGCUUUCUGGUGGGCAUUCCAUGUGAAGAAAGCAAGUGGAGCAGUGAGACAAGAUUAGACAGAAAGAGCAUCUGAACCUUAUUCUCCCAGUUUGUAGUCUUGAAACAAAUCUCCUGUGUCCCACCUGAGCACUCUGAGCUCUGGGCACAGGUACAGGAUUAUGUUUCCCAUUUUUGAACAGUUAUCUUCAGCAAAGCUGUUCAGUAUAAAUAAGAAAAGGAAAAGCUUGAGUGAUUUGGUGGCCUGAUGGCUCCAGCUGGGAGAACAGAUCCUUGCUCCAAUUAGUGCUUCUCCACAUACAAAAAUAAAAUAUUUUUACCAGGAGAUAUUGAAAAUACCUUUUUUAUUAGGGCCCUGUAUAGUCCAGUUGCAAGGGUACUUUUCUGAAACACAGGGAUUGGGAAGACCACAUUCAUUUUCUUUUUCCCACUAGGCAGAAAAUAGGCUGUGUUCUCCUCUUCCCUUGCUGAGUCUGCUGACAUCCACACUGCCAGACGAAAGCCACUCUAACCCUGGCAGUUUGGUAAAUCCUCCCUAGGACCUGGCUGUAAAAUUGAAGCAUUUCUUCCUGAAGCACCAAAGUAAGCCAGUUUGCAUCUCUGCCUCUUCUCCAGUCUGAUCCAAAUCAUUAAAUGCAAAUUGAAUUCACAGCUAUCUUCAGCCUCUCCUCUUGCUGAUUGGAGGUAUUUUAUUUGAGUCAGAGAAUACACUUAUCGUGGGCAUUUGCCUGACUCUAGCUCAGGGCUGCAAGA